GGAUGGGCAUGCGGCGCAUUAGCUAGUCGGCGGGGUAACGGCCCACCAAGGCGACGAUGCGUAGGGGUUCUGAGAGGAAGGUCCCCCACACUGGUACUGAGACACGGACCAGACUCCUACGGGAGGCAGCAGUGAGGAAUAUUGGUCAAUGGGCGGGAGCCUGAACCAGCCAAGUCGCGUGAGGGAAGACGGUCCUAUGGAUUGUAAACCUCUUUAGGCGGGGAGCAAUGCCGGGCACGCGUGCCCGGAGGGAGAGUACCCGCAGAAUAAGCAUCGGCUAACUCCGUGCCAGCAGCCGCGGUAAUACGGAGGAUGCGAGCGUUAUCCGGAUUUAUUGGGUUUAAAGGGUGCGUAGGCGGAUUUUUAAGUCAGCGGUAAAAUGUCCGGGCUCAACCCGGGCCGGCCGUUGAAACUGGGGAUCUUGAGUGGGCGAGAAGUAUGCGGAAUGCGUGGUGUAGCGGUGAAAUGCAUAGAUAUCACGCAGAACUCCGAUUGCGAAGGCAGCAUACCGGCGCCCGACUGACGCUGAGGCACGAAAGCGUGGGGAUCGAACAGGAUUAGAUACCCUGGUAGUCCACGCAGUAAACGAUGAAUGCUAGUUGUCCGGUUCUUUGGGACUGGGUGACACAG
rnacentral:rRNA from 1 species